rnacentral:tRNA from 4 species
GCCGGGAUGGCGGAACUGGUAGACGCGCCGGACUCAAAAUCCGGUUCUGGCAACAGAGUGUGGGUUCGAUUCCCUCUCCCGGCACCA